UACGGAGGGGGCGAGCGUUAUUCGGAAUUAUUGGGCGUAAAGGGCGCGUAGGCGGCUGUACAAGUCAAAGGUGAAAUCCCUCGGCUUAACUGAGGAACUGCCUUUGAAACUGUACGGCUUGAGGCCGGGAGGGGGUAGCGGAAUUCCCAGUGUAGCGGUGAAAUGCGUAGAUACUGGGAGGAACACCAGUGGCGAAGGCGGCUACCUGGACCGGUUCUGACGCUGAUGCGCGAAAGCGUGGGUAGCAAACAGG
rnacentral:rRNA from 1 species